GACGAACCGUGCGAACGUUGUUCGGAUUCACUGGGCUUAAAGGGCGCGUAGGCGGAUUAUCAAGUCAGGGGUGAAAUACCUCGGCUCAACCGAGGAACAGCUUCUGAUACUGGUAGUCUUGAGUGAGGUAGGUGCCUCUGGAACUUCUGGUGGAGCGGUGAAAUGCGUAGAUAUUAGAAGGAACUCCGGUGGCGAAAGCGAGGGGCUGGAUCUCAUCAGACGCUGUGGCGCGAAAGCUUGGGGAGCAAACGGG
rnacentral:rRNA from 1 species